CCUCCAGUCAGAAUUCAAGGAAUCCAAAAUCGAUUAAGCUCGACGUAAUCGAACGAGAUAUCGUCUCGAGAUCGAAUAACAGGGGGUGAAGAAGAAGAAGAAGAAGAAGAAGAAGAAGAGGAAGGAGGAGGAUUUCGCGAAGGAACAAGGAUCCCUCGGUGGAAAAUCAUCGUCGAUAUUCGCUCGGGCGAUAAAGACGGCGAUCAAAUACCACCGAGUGUUCACCAAUGAACGUAGCGUACGGUGGUUGCAGACGAGGACAAAACCGUGGAACACGCACGAGGAACAGACAGUGCUGCGUUUUGGCGACCGGGGUCCUCCAGAUUCCCGGAUUCUCACCACCGACACCACCUGACUUCAUCACCUCUCGAGAGACCGACGUAGAUCUUCACAACGUAAUCGUUAAUCAUGGGGCUCGACUUCUUGGCAGACGGAGGUGCCGAUUUCGAGCAUGCAAUCACCGUAACAGGAUUCGGCAAAUUUCAUUAUAUGCUGUUGACGAUCUGCGGAUUAAUUUACAUGGAUACAGCCAUCGGGGUCACGAUACUCUCCUUCGUGUUACCGGCAGCGCAAUGCGACUUGGAAAUGGAUUCCACCGCGAAAGGGUGGUUAACAGCAUCGCCAAUGUUGGGAAUGGUAGUUGGUUCCUAUAUAUGGGGAUGCCUGGCUGAUAUCAAAGGAAGAAAAAUCGUAUUAAUCGCCACUUUAUUAAUGGACGGCAUUGUAGGUGUCGUUUCCUCUUUUGUCCAAUAUUUUUGGAUUUUUCUAGUGUUCCGUUUCUUUAAUGGGUUCGCCGUUACGGGAGCUAUGGGAAUUUGUUUUCCGUAUUUAGGGGAAUUUCAGCCGACAAAAUAUCGUGAAAAAUGUCUUUGUUGGAUGGAAAUGUUCUGGACAGUAGGUGUCAUACUAUUACCACUGAUCGCAUGGCUGAUCAUACCGAUGAACUUCAUGUACCUUACGGACACGUUUUACUUUAAGUCAUGGAAUCUCUUCGUAGCGCUGUGCGCUCUACCCUCGUUGAUGUUAGGCCUGUGGCUGUUCGCAUUCCCGGAGAGCCCGAAAUUUCUUCUCGAAUGUGGCGAAACCGACGCAGCACUCGAAGUAUUUAAAUGGAUCUAUUCGCAGAACACUGGGGAGGAUCCUGACUCUUAUCCGGUAAAGUCGUUGCAAGAGAAAAACAAAGACAAGAGCAUGAGAUCGUUAAAACUACACAAAAGAAAGGAUUUAAAGGUUCUCUUGAAAGAAGUAAAAGAUCUAACAACUGCUCUCUGUAAGAAACCGUAUCUUAAAAAUACGCUACUCGCUUGUGGCAUUCAGUUUGGCCUCACCAGUAGUUACUAUACCCUUAUGGUUUGGUUCCCAGAAUUAUUCACUAGAUUCGAACAAUUUGAACACGAAAAUCCCAAUAAAACCACAUCGGUUUGCAUAGUAUCUGCUCUGUCCAAUAAUGGAACUCAAAUCGACACUUAUGGAUGUGAUACCAUAAUAGCGCCUUCCGUUUAUCUUCACACGGUUUACAUAGGACUCGCCUGUAUUCCUGGUUCCAUCAUUUUACCGAUUUUCGUACACAAACUUGGCGCUAAAUUCUUUUUGAUUAUGUCACUGUUAGUUUCCGGAGCGGUUACGAUUGCCUUCUAUUAUGUCGUUAAUUCGACACAAAAUUUAAUAUUAUCCUGCGUGUUCGAGGCUCUGACGUCUCUCGGUAUCUCACUGGUUUAUUGCGUAAUCGUCGACAUGUUCCCGACGAAUCUCAGAAAACAAAUUAUUUAAUUUUUAGAGUAAUGGCUGCGGCUUUAUCUCUCACCAUGGGUCGAUUAGGCGCAUUAGUCGGUAAUUUAGUGUUCGGCUACCUAAUUGAUUUAGCCUGUGUGAUUCCUAUAAUUUUAUUCGCAGCAUUUUUAUUCGUAUGUGGAUUUAUGUCUUUCUUGUUGCC
rnacentral:misc_RNA from 1 species